GUGAGGAAUUUUGCGCAAUGGGCGAAAGCCUGACGCAGCGACGCCGCGUGGGCGAUGAAGCUUUUCGGAGUGUAAAGCCCUGUCAGGUGGGACGAAUGUAGCGGGGGUGAAUAACCGAUCGCUACUGACGGUACCACCAGAGGAAGCCCCGGCUAACUCUGUGCCAGCAGCCGCGGUAAUACAGAGGGGGCUAGCGUUGUUCGGAAUCACUGGGUGUAAAGGGUGCGUAGGCGGUUCGCCAAGUCUGAUGUGAAAUCCCCCGGCUCAACUGGGGAACUGCAUUGGAAACUGGCAAGCUUGAGUACCGGAGAGGGAAUCGGAAUUCCUGGUGUAGCGGUGAAAUGCGUAGAUACCAGGAGGAACACCGGUGGCGAAGGCGGAUUCCUGGCCGAGUACUGACGCUGAGGCACGAAAGCGUGGGGAGCGAACGGGAUUAGAUACCCUGGUAGUCC
rnacentral:rRNA from 1 species